AAAUGCGAUAAGUAGUGUGAAUUGCAGAAUUCAGUGAAUCAUCGAAUCUUUGAACGCACAUUGCGCCCUUUGGUAUUCCUUAGGGCAUGCCUGUUCGAGCGUCAUUUGUACCCUCAAGCUCUGCUUGGUGUUGGGUGUUUGUCCCCGUCUCCGCGCGUGGACUCGCCCCAAAGUGAUUGGCAGCCGGCGUACUGGUCCCGGAGCGCAGCACAUGUCGCGCAAACGAGUGCCUUGGUACGGCGGCGUCCAUAAGCCCCUCUCUCACGCUCUUGACCUCGGAUCAGGUAGGGAUACCCGCUGAACUUAAGC
rnacentral:misc_RNA from 1 species